rnacentral:rRNA from 1 species
GAUGAACGCUGGCGGCGUGCCUAAUACAUGCAAGUCGAGCGAACAGACGAGGAGCUUGCUCCUCUGACGUUAGCGGCGGACGGGUGAGUAACACGUGGAUAACCUACCUAUAAGACUGGGAUAACUUCGGGAAACCGGAGCUAAUACCGGAUAAUAUAUUGAACCGCAUGGUUCAAUAGUGAAAGACGGUUUUGCUGUCACUUAUAGAUGGAUCCGCGCCGCAUUAGCUAGUUGGUAAGGUAACGGCUUACCAAGGCGACGAUGCGUAGCCGACCUGAGAGGGUGAUCGGCCACAAGGGAACUGAGACACGGUCCAGACUCCUACGGGGGGCAGCAGUAGGGAAUCUUCCGAAAUGGGCGAAAGCCUGACGGAGAAACGCCGGGGGGGUGAUGAAGGUUUUCGGAUCGUAAAACUCUGUUAUUGGGGAAAAAAAAAUGUGUAAGUAACUAUGCACGUCUUGACGGUACCUAAUCAAAAAACCACGGCUAACUACGU